rnacentral:rRNA from 1 species
UACGGGGGGGGCAAGCGUUGUUCGGAAUUACUGGGCGUAAAGGGCUCGUAGGCGGCCAACUAAGUCAGACGUGAAAUCCCUCGGCUUAACCGGGGAACUGCGUCUGGUACUGGAUGGCUUGAGAUUGGGAGAGGGAUGCGGAAUUCCAGGUGUAGCGGUGAAAUGCGCAGAUAUCAGGAAGAACACCCGUGGCGAAAGCGGCUCUCUGGAACGGUACUGACGCUGAGACGCGAAAGCGUGGGGAGCGAACAGG